GCUGAAAUAGCUCAGUUGGGAGAGCGUUAGACUGAAGAUCUAAAGGUCCCUGGUUCAAUCCAGUGUUUCGGCA
rnacentral:tRNA from 1 species